rnacentral:rRNA from 1 species
AUGUUGUCCCCCAACAUGGCAAACAAAAGUUACAAACAGCGGAAUGAGAAGGUUCAGGUUGGUUGUAUGUCGGGGCUGAUCCGCAUGUUCGACUUCCGUCGUGGUCAAAAAUAUCUUUCAGAUGGGAGCCGACGGAUGAAUACAUAUUCAGUUAAAAGGGGUCUAAAAGGCUCUGAGGAUUACAACAGAAUCACGGCUGCAGAUAAUGACAGAGACCAUGGAGCUGAAACAUUUUAUGCCGGUAGGCCAAGUAUUAGAGCACUGAUGGAAGAAGAGAUGGCCAGUGGCACACAGCCCUUGAAGCAAACAGAAAGAAACACGCUGGGGAUAUUCUCUAGUGAUGUUAAGUCUGUGAAUCUGCCUGAAGGAUCUGAGAUUGACCUAAACUUGGCUGCGAGUCUCAUGGAAAUUUACAGAAGUCACAAUGGAAGUCAAGACAGCAGCGAUUCUGUUAAAUCCGGUAACAUUUCUUAUUCAGUUGACCAAGAGAACAAUGCUGAUGCUGGUGCACAUCCCAGUCGGAUACCCUGUGUUAUUCAAAAAGCACUAGAAGAUGUGGCCGAAGCGGUAAUAAGCCAUCAAUCAGCGAAUGCAGAAUACAUAACCAGCAGCGGCGAAGCUAGGUCCAAAGAACUGGUUGACGCACUGCAGCUGCUGAGCUCAAACAAAGAGUUGUUUCUGAUGCUUCUGCGAGACCCGAGCUCUAGAUUGUUACAGUGCCUCCAAAACCUCUAUACAUCCCUAGGAGGUCCCAAGUUAGAACCCGCAGAUUCUGAUGAAGUAACUAAGUUGCAAGGUGCGACUAACGGCAUAGAGCAGUCGGAGGUGUCACCAAGUAAAGUGCAAAGAAAGUAUAAUUCUUUCUUGCAAGAGGAUAAGUUAGUCAUGAGGAAACCAUCACAGCUAAAUGAUACUUCCCGUGGCCUUAGCACAAUAGUAAUCUUGAAGCCAAGUCCUGCAAGAAGUCAGGGUAGCCUUCUCUCAAGUAGUGUAACUUCUUCACCACUAUCAAAUCAUAAUAAUACGCCAGGUCAGGUUGAAAGUGGCAAAGCUCCUCACCAUUUCUCUCUUAGAGAGCUUAGAAGGAGGCUAAAGCUUGCCACCAUGAGUAGUAGCACUUUCCAGACUGCUGAUCCACCCAAGCAGUUUGCUGUGGAAAGUAUGUCGAUAAGUUCAGAAAGUACAGAUUCUUCUGACUGUGAGAUAGCUAAGGAACCAUCCAGUGUUGACAAGAAAACAAACUUUAGAGAUAGUGGAAUUGGCAUGGGGAAUGAUGCCACUCAUGGUGUCGGCUCUUUUUCCUAUGAAAAGGCUAGGAAGCAUCUCAUUGAGAAGCUAGACAAUCAAGAUGAAGACAUUUCUCAGACUGUACAAAAAUCAGAAUCCAUUGGGAGAUUAAUUUCACAUCCGGAAGAUGGGGCAUUUUCUCCCAGUCAUUCCCCUCCAAAGGAGGGCAUUAGUAUAUCUCAGGAAGCUACAGACUCAAGUUCACAGAUAAUUGAGCAAGAUGAUAGUUCAGCAAAUUUUAGCCCACCAAGCGAAGACGAAGAGACAGAACCGACCAGUGCAAGCUCUUCAGGUAGUAAAGAGUUGGAUGAACUCAGGACAGAUCAUGGCAACCAUCUAUCGGAGGAGAACACUAUUUCUCAGGAGCUAAUCGAUGAAGAUGUUAAGAACAUGCAAGAUGCAGUGGAAAACCUACAGCUCUCUACCGAGGUUGAAACUACAAGUGAAAGCUUUGAACAAAUAAAUUCAGACCAAUUAUCUUCCGAAGAACCACAGCCCACGAAUGCGUUACCAGAAGUGACCAUGCAUUCUCCUGAGCACCCCGUUGAGGAACAAGACGAUCACAGUCCAUCAGCAGUCGUUGGAUUAGCCAAGCCAUCCAUGUUGACAUUUGCUUGCUUGCCAGAGAAUGCUGAUGAAAAAGAGGAGAAACUGAGCCCACACUCGGUUCUGGAUCCUUCCUUGGCAAAUAGUACCAGUCCCAACCAUAAAACUCGAAAGCAAGAUGAGUUGUCCAUGCCUAGCUCAAGAGUUCUUUUCGAAGAACUUGACACUCCAUCUGAGACGUUGCAGACUCCUGUUCUUUAUGAUAAAAAUGAAAGGGUUUCCUUCAUUAAGUCUGUGCUAGAAGCGUCAGAAUCGCUGGCCGGGGGCUGUUCGGAGAGGUGGUAUAUGGAUGUGUCUGUGCUUGAGACAUCUGUAUUGGCUGAAAUAGGAAUGUCAUACUGCCUGACGGACGAUGUGGUUCUUCUUUUUGAUUGUGUUGAGGAAGUUCUUCUCAAGAUAAGCGAUGAUUUCUUCGGUGCUGACCCAUGGGUAGCUUUUCUGAAGAACAACGUGAGACCAGCACCACUGGGGAUGGAACUCGUUAGAGAGGUGGCCAAGUGCAUCGAUUGUCUUGUCGAUGAUACUGGAACUCCAAAAGCAUUAGAUGAGGUGGUGCUGAAAGACCUGGAAAGUGGACCGUGGAUGGACCUUCGAUGCGAUGCUGAAGAUGCUGUCAUUGAUGUGUGGGAUGGCAUGCUUGACGACUUACUGGAGGAGAUGGUAUUUGACCUGUGGUUUUAA